AUUGAACGCUGGCGGCAGGCCUAACACAUGCAAGUCGAGCGGUAACAGAGAUUAGCUUGCUAAUCUGCUGACGAGCGGCGGACGGGUGAGUAAUGCAUAGGAAGUUGCCCAGUAGAGGGGGAUACCAGUUGGAAACGACUGUUAAUACCGCAUAACCUCUUUGGAGCAAAGCAGGGGACCUUCGGGCCUUGCGCUACUGGAUACGCCUAUGUGGGAUUAGCUAGUUGGUGAGGUAAUGGCUCACCAAGGCGACGAUCCCUAGCUGGUCUGAGAGGAUGAUCAGCCACACUGGGACUGAGACACGGCCCAGACUCCUACGGGAGGCAGCAGUGGGGAAUAUUGCACAAUGGGCGAAAGCCUGAUGCAGCCAUGCCGCGUGUAUGAAGAAGGCCUUCGGGUUGUAAAGUACUUUCAGUUGUGAGGAAGGUUGUGUAGUUAAUAGCUGCAUAAUUUGACGUUAGCAACAGAAGAAGCACCGGCUAACUCCGUG
rnacentral:rRNA from 1 species